GUGUAGUGACCCGGUGGACGUCACAUCCGGGACCGAAGUGAGACGCAGACGCCAGGAGCGCACACUGGGAGGCAGCAGAACAAUCUGGAGACCUAGUGCACUGCAUAGUGUGAAGAUGGUGAAAACCAAAGCAUUCUAUUCUGGAGCCCGUUCAGCGUCACUUACCAAGAAAAUGUCUGCGGCAGUGCCACAGAUUCUAAAGAAGAAAGCAGAAAAGGAAAAUGUUCCUGUUGUCAAAGCCUCCAGGAGGGCGAGGGCCAAACAUGGUCUCCAGGACCCCCCAGCACUCCCGCUACUACCACCACCCGACAACCCACCCACCCACUUCAUGAUGCUGGCACAUCUGUAACGUCAAUAAUCCCACCACAGCCAGAAUCCGGCAAUCCACCUCCUCCCGAACUCCGAAGACUAAUGUCAUUGGCAAACACCCUGUUUGACUACAUUUAUCGUUCUUUGUAAAAAAUAUUUAUUCUUACUGUACAGUAUUUGCUGUUGUUCAAUUAGUGUAUUACAGUACAUCUUUAUCCCAGCCAAAA